GAAAUAUAUAUAUAGGCAUUCUCCGGUGCUGUAAUUAAAUUCGGUGGAAAAUUGCACUCGCGUUUUAAUGAGCUGUGCCGGUCAUAUGCGAUAUUAAUAUAAAAACUAAUUACCCACUUCACUUCAUAUCCACGAGUUGACAAGCGCGUAUAGAUAACGAGGAAGGAUUCAAAUUAAUCCUAGUAGCUCGCCAAAGUUGAUAUUAAACUCCGCAAUAACCUUACGCCGAUCGAGAGGCGAAGAACACUGCCCAGACUUUGACCUGUUUUUAUUUUGGAUUUCGAUUCGAGAUACAGUAGGCCGGAACAAUAGUGUUUAUAUCUUGUAAUCUACGGUGGCUCACCGACUCAAAAUACAAGACAAAAGACAGACGAGGUAUUUAAUUGUAAGGUAAGGUUUUAAAUUGACACUGCGUUUUAAGACGACUUUCAAAUUACUAUACUAUAUUUGAUAUUUAUAACUAAACUUUUUCGUUUCGUGAUACAUGCGUGUAUAUGCAUAUAUAAGUUCAUUACGAAAUUGUCCAUUUAUAUACAAUUUAUAUAUUUUCCUUCAAUUCAUUUGGUUCGCUGUGAACGAACUCUGUAGUCUUACAGAUUUUCUUUGAUAUUUUUAGGUGUUUAUUGGCUUGAAUUCUUACACGCUGAAAGAGAGGUGUCUGUAUGGAUUCAACGAAUAGUAAGU